AGGGAGACGGCAGACAAGAGCGUGAAGCCCCCCCAGCCCUGUCUCACUGUCUCCUUCC
rnacentral:precursor_RNA from 1 species